rnacentral:piRNA from 1 species
UAAGCAAAAUGCAGAACACCGGAGA